rnacentral:rRNA from 1 species
CUGGGCUUAAAUGUAGAGUGCAUGAGUGGGAAACCAUUCUUUCCUUCGGGACUCUUUACAAGGUGCUGCAUGGUUGUCGUCAGCUCGUGCCGUGAGGUGUCGGGUUAAGUCCCAUAACGAGCGCAACCCCUACCUUUAGUUGCCAUCAGGUAAUGCUGGGGACUCUAAAGGAACUGCCUACGCAAGUAGUGAGGAAGGUGGGGAUGACGUCAAAUCAGCACGGCCCUUACGUCCAGGGCUACACACGUGCUACAAUGGUCGGUACAGAGGGCAGCUACCACGCGAGUGGAUGCAAAUCUCCAAAGCCGAUCUCAGUUCGGAUCGAAGUCUGAAACUCGACUUCGUGAAGUUGGAUUUGCUAGUAAUCGCGCAUCAGCCAUGGCGCGGUGAAUACGUUCCC